ACAGAUACCUACAGAACUCGCAUUUUACCUGACAAGUAUUUACACCUGGCGAGAAAUGCUACCUUGUGACGACUGUAACUUAAACGAAACUGUUGCCUUUUCUGAUAAACUGAAACGGUCAUUGACACUAAGAAAAUUUCUGGACGAAGAUACUCUUGCACCAAUGACAACAGACACCAGACACGUGCAUAGAAUUGUGUCGUAUAAUGAAUGAUUUUAUUAGUAAUUAUUAUAACAACAAUUGACACGACCCGAACUUAAGCAUUCAGCGACGCUAGAUAAAUUUACUUAUAGUUAGUUAUAUAUUAAAAAAAAAAGAAAAACAAAUAGAUUUUCCUGGUAAGAUAGUGCGUACAACUCGCUCUUCAUCGCAACUUAGUAGGUAAACUCGCGAACCGAGUAUUGUAGUACUUUUCAAAUAAGAAUGUCAUUAGGAGUCAUCGAGGCCCAAUAACAGACUAUGUCAAAAUACAAUUCCAUAUAUUUUCAAAUUUUCAUAGACAGACAUGACAUGAAUUUCAUCUGCCUAUUUUUGUUAUAAUUUAAUUACCUAUUUAAACUUCCAUUUGAUUUAUAACUUCUUUGUCAUGUUUUCAUAUUAACUUACGAUAUUUAGAUAGAUAGCUAAGCUAUACGGCAUAAAAUAUUAAUAUAAAUUAUUGCAAUUUUAUUAAUAUUGGUAAACACUGGGAUGGAUAAUGUAGAAUUAAUUGUAAGUAUAAUAAAAAAUUCAAGUAAACACAGUAAUAACAGAAAUAUAUGAGUAGAUUUUUUGUAAGAGAGAAGAUGUCUUUGUACAUAUAAAAUAGAAGGAGUCUGAUAUGUUCAAUUCUCAGUCGGUAUAUUUUAUUAGUUUCUUAUGAGUUCUUUUUAUAUAAAAAAAUGCAAUCGAUUUGAAGCUGUCUAUCCGAUGAGCUAGAGAUUUAUUUCUCAUUUCAGAUUAUUUUUUUAUUAUUUGUACUUGAUUAACGUCAAUUUUCUCACUUAUAUUUGAUAUAUUUUUAACUUUUAACUCUUAUAGAAUUCUAAGAUAUUUCCUGUAUUAGAUUAGAAUAUAUUCUAUAAAUUUGUUUUGAAUAUUUUGUUCAAGUUCCGUAAAACGAAACAGAUACGAUGCAGCUGAUUGAGACGUGAAAUAUGAGGUUUCUUCUAGAGAUAUCUUGAAAAUUUUAGUUUUUAGCUUUUUAUUAUGAUUAGCAUACAUUAUAUUUGGUUGGAGUAAGCGUAGUACGGCAUUUAUUUUUUUAGUGAUAAAGGUGAAAACCUACUAGAGUAUUUAGGCGACUGGAGUAUAUAUAAACGCUACUUUAUAAUUGCAGCUGUUUGAAAGAUAAGCUGUUAGUUUGUAAUUUUCUAUAAGUCUUUUAAUUUAUUAUUAUUAUUUUACAUCGUUAAAUUUUUAAGGUAUUCAAGAAAACCUAAAUAGCAUUUGCCUGAUUCAAGUAGUGUGUAAAUACGUAGUAAAUUAGAUUUAAUGAUUCUUGAUAGUUUAAUUAUUUUAUAAUUUAAAUAAAAAAAAAACUUAAUUCCUGUUGAAUGUCUAUUAUUGUAAGUUUGUAUGUUUAUUGAAUUCUAAAAUUCUCCUAAGAAAACAACAUUUUCACAACGUCUUUAAAAAAAACCUUAGCAACUUAAAUAAUCUGUAUUAUUUAAGCGUGUGUGUUAAUUUAAGUGAUUUUAUUAUACUUUGCACUAACUUUUUUUUUUUAAUUAAUCACUUAGCUGUUGAAUUUGAUCAUUUGAUUUUUUGAUUGAAUUUGAUUAUAUAGACAAUAGAGAGAUAUAUUUAAAAACUAUUUUUAUAUAACAUGUUUUUAAUUUUGAACAAAAGAAUUUACAAUGUUACAUACUUCAGUUUACUGUUGACGUUAAAAAAAAUUUAUAACUGUUGCUAUUUGUAAUAUUGUUAUGUUAAAUGGAAAAUCAAUGAAAAAUACACCAAAAAAUCAAUUAAUACUAAAGUUUAUGUAAGUUAAUAUUUCUCUCGUUAUUUAUGCAAUCUCACUGUCAUUGAUUUAUAUUAUGUAAGUGGCAAUGACUUGGACAACCAGUAAUGAAGUUACAAGAUCGCAAAUACGUUACUUAGAUUAAGAUUAGAAAUAUACAAACGCCACAGGAAUCAAACCCAUGCUUGCAUUAGCAAUCUAACGACUAAUCUAAGGACGCGCUACUUCUGAAAUACUUCUGUCUGAAGAUCGGCCAAGCGAAUGCAUCGGGUCGUUCCUGUCGCGUUAUUAAAAUUACACAGC